rnacentral:ncRNA from 1 species
UGACCUCAGAUCAGACAUGGUGACCCACUGAAUUUAAGCAUAUUAGUCAGUGGAGGAAAAGAAACUAACCAGGAUUCCUUCAGUAAUUGCGAGUGAACAGGGAAGAGCCCAGCGCUGAAUCCCUGUCCUGUGAUGGGGCACAGGAAAUGUGGUGUACAGAAGACCCACUCCUCAGUGCCACUCUUGGGGCACCCAAGUCUUUCUGAUUGAGGCACAGCCUAUGGACGGUCUGAGGCCAGUAGAGGCCCCCAGAACACCAGGACCAGGUCUUCUCAGAGUCAGGUUGUUUGGGAAUGCAGCCCAAAGAGAGUGGUAAACUCCAUCUAAGGCUAAAUACCGGCACAAGACUGACAGUCUACAAGUACCAUAAGGGAAAGUUGAAAAGAACAUUGAAGAGAGAGUUCAGGAGGGCACGAAACCAUCAAGAGGUAAAUGGGUGGGGUCUGCACAGUCUGCCCAGAAGAUUCAACCUGGUGGGUUUGGUCAGCCUGCCCAGGACGACAGAUCUCCCUCCCCCCCCACCCAGGGUGGGGUGGUUGGGGACCACCUCCCAGACAGCCCUGGCCCCUGUCAGGCAUAUUUCCACCAUGGUGGUGCACCAUGACUGGCUCUCAGUUGGAUAGGAAGGUCUGGUGGGCAGGUGGCUUGCCACUUUGCAGUGACGAGUUUUACAGCCCCCAGGCAGUAGCUCGCCUUCUGGUAGGGGGUGGCAUGGGGGCCUUCCAGGGGACCGCCCCCCUUGUUCCUGUGCAGCUGUCAACCAGGGUGGACAGUCCUCAGUGUAUCCUGACCACAUCAUCCAACUGGGCAGGGAGAGCCAUGCUUGGCACCCGGGUUCUGCGGUGAUGUCAGCCACCCACCCAACCUGUCUUGAAAUAUGGAUCAAGGAGUCUAAGAUGUGCACAUGUCAGAGGCUUGAAUGAAAGCUCUUGGCACAAUGAAGGUGAGGGCUGGCAUGCACUGGCUGAGGUGGGAUCCUGGGGCCACUGUUUGUGGAGGGCGCACCACCGGCCCGUCUUGCCCACCCCAUCAGAAACAUGGAGCAUGAGUGUACGUGCUAGGACCUGAAAGAUGGUAAACUAUGCCUGGGCAGGGCGAAGCCAGAGGAAACUCUGGUGGAGGUGCGUAGUGGUCCUGUUGUACAAUUGGUCAUCCAAUCUGGGUUUUAAUGUAAGGCUAUGUCAUUUAUUUUAUAAACUGCUAUGUGUAGAUUCGGGGCUGAUCACAGCUGAUCAUGUUUGGUCAAGCUACUAGAGCUGACCAUUUUUACUUUUGUUGUGAGGACUGGUUAAGGACCCACUGUUCACGGCCAUUGCCUCUGCUGCAGCAUGGCUAGAAGAUAACACCCCAAGUGGCUGCUUAACCCUUGGUAACCCCAGGCAAAAGACUAAUUGAACCAUGUAGUAGCUGGUUCCCUCUGAAGUUUCCCUCAGGAUAGCUGGCAAUCAUGUCUCUGCAGUUUUAUCUGUUAAAGCAAACGAUUAGAGGUCUUGGGUCCAAAAUGAUCUCAACCUAUUCUCAAGCUUUAAAUGGGUAAGAAGUCUGUCUCACAGGUGUGAAGCCAGGUGUGGAAUGCAAGUGCCUAGUGGGCCACUUUUGAUGAGCAGAACUGGCACGGUGGGAUGAACUAAACGUUGGGUUAAGGUGCAUGAUGCCAAUGCUCAUCAGACCCCAGAAAAGGUGUUGGUUGAUAUAAACAACAGAACGGUGGCCAUGGAAGUUGGAAGCCGCUAAGGAGUGUGUAAUAACUCACCUGCCAAAUGAAUUAGUCUGAAAAUGGAUGGUGAUGGAGCAUCGGGCCCAUACCCAACCGUCACCAGCAUUGAGAGCUGUGGGGGCUAGGCCGCAACGUGUAGGAGGGCCGCUCUGGUAGUCCUUGAAGCCUAGGGUGCAGGCCCAAGUGGAGCCACCACAGGUGCAGAUCUUGGUGGUAGUAGCAAAUAUUCAGACGAGAACUUUGAAGGCCAAAGUGGAGAAUGGUUCCAUGUGAACAGAAGUUGAACAUGGGUCAGUAGGUCCCAAGAGGUAAGCAAGUGCCAUUCUGAAGGGACAGGCAAUGGGCUCCAUUGCCCUCAGCUGAUCAUAAGGGAGUUGGGUUCAGAUUCCUGAAUCUGGAGUGGUGGAGACAGGUGCCGUGAGGCAUCCAGUACGGUAACACAUCUGAUCCCAGAGAAGCCGGAGGCCUUCCCCACCGCAAAGAAAUUGCCCACAU